rnacentral:rRNA from 1 species
CGCUACACAUGCAGUCGAACGAGAAAGGGAGCAAUCCUGAGUAAAGUGGCGGACGGGUGCGUAACACGUAGGUAACCUGCCCUAGGAUGGGGGAUAACGUUCCGAAAGGAGCGCUAAUACCGCAUACAGCCCACGGCGUCAGCUGUGGGGCAAAGGUUGGGAUUCGCAAGAACCAAUCGUCCUAGGAGGGGCCUGCGGCCCAUCAGCUAGUUGGUGAGGUAAUGGCUCACCAAGGCGAAGACGGGUAGCUGGUCUGAGAGGAUGAUCAGCCACACUGGUACUGGAACACGGACCAGACUCCUACGGGAGGCAGCAGUGGGGAAUCUUGGUCAAUGGGCGCAAGCCUGAACCAGCGACGCCGCGUGAGUGAUGAAGGCCUUCGGGUUGUAAAGCUCUGUGGGGAGGGACGAAAGAGUCGGUUCUAACAGGACCGAUGUUGACGGUACCUCCUUAGCAAGCACCGGCUAACUCUGUGCCAGCAGCCGCGGUAAGACAGAGGGUGCAAACGUUGCUCGGAAUCACUGGGCGUAAAGGGCGUGUAGGCGGAUAGGCAAGUCAGACGUGAAAUCCCCAGGCUCAACCUGGGAACUGCAUUUGAAACUGCCUGUCUUGAGUAUCGGAGAGGAAAGCGGAAUUCCUGGUGUAGAGGUGAAAUUCGUAGAUAUCAGGAGGAACACCGGUGG